rnacentral:rRNA from 1 species
UGGGGAACAUUGCACAAUGGGCGCAAGCCUGAUGCAGCCAUGCCGCGUGUAUGAAGAAGGCCUUCGGGUUGUAAAGUACUUUCAGCGAGGAGGAAGGCGUUGUGGUUAAUAACCGCAGCGAUUGACGUUACUCGCAGAAGAAGCACCGGCUAACUCCGUGCCAGCAGCCGCGGUAAUACGGAGGGUGCAAGCGUUAAUCGGAAUUACUGGGCGUAAAGCGCACGCAGGCGGUUUGUCAAGUCGGAUGUGAAAUCCCCGGGCUCAACCUGGGAACUGCAUCCGAAACUGGCAGGCUAGAGUCUUGUAGAGGGGGGUAGAAUUCCAGGUGUAGCGGUGAAAUGCGUAGAGAUCUGGAGGAAUACCGGUGGCGAAGGCGGCCCCCUGGACAAAGACUGACGCUCAGGUGCGAAAGCGUGGGGAGCAAACA